rnacentral:rRNA from 1 species
GACAGAGGGGGCUAGCGUUGUUCGGAAUUACUGGGCGUAAAGGGCGCGUAGGCGGAUUAGUAAGUUGGAAGUGAAAUCCCCAGGCUCAACUUGGGAACUGCGUCUGAUACUGGAUGGCUUGAAUUCGGGAGAGGGAUGCAGAAUUCCAGGUGUAGCGGUGAAAUGCGUAGAUAUCUGGAGGAAUACCGGUGGCGAAGGCGGCAUCCUGGACCGAGAUUGACACUGAUGAGCGAAAAGCUAGGGGAGCAAACGGG